AAAUCACAGAAAUUAAACAUGAAAUAAAAGAAGAUAUUUAUUAAAAACAAUAAGUUCAUACAACUCCAAAAAUAUAAAAUAAAAUAUAAAACCCGUGUCCCUUUGUCAGGGUUGCAUCCAGCCCUAGUGAAGAGCUUAGGCUUCCAUGCAGUGGUGGACGAUAGUAGCAGCACAGCAGCGGGCUCCCAUCUCUUUCUUCUCUUCCUCUUGUGAUUCCCCCUGAGAUCGAUUCCUU
rnacentral:lncRNA from 1 species